CUGCAAGGUGGAGCUGUCAACACCAGUUUGGUAAGUGAGUAGUAGCUGGUGCAGGGAUGACCAGCAGCUGCAGCCACAGCCAGGCGCAAAGGCAGAAUUUAAAGUGGAACAAUCAAGACAGUGUUUCUAGUGCUGUGGUGACAUCACACACCAUGAACGUUUUCUUCACUGUGUGCACGGAGCAGAGAAAGAAAUUUUCGCUAAUUACAGAGAGGCAGAUCAGGGAGCAAUCCAGAUCUUCUAACAGAAGCCUGCACUCUCCUGGUUUGUGGUGGUGGAAACAAUAACUUUUUAAAUCGUCUCUGAUAGAAGGGAGAAGCUGUGUGUGCAGGUGGUUAAGUCUGGCUGCUGGUGAGGCCUGGUGCUCUGAGGUAGACUUCCUAAGAUAGAAGCUGGAAUCUGCACCUCACGCAACGAUGUCAAAUAAAGACAGAGCUUAAAGGACGGUGGCAGGAGGGUGGCCCUCCCUGCUGGACCAGCUGAGCCUCUCACUUCCAUGUGGUGAUGUCUGGGAUGCACUGAACUAAACGUGUCAGCUCCAGGAAGAACCAGAGCAGAGUUUAGGUGGGGAGAGCAGGCUGGCUGAGGUUUUCGGGGUACCCUCAGCCCUGCCUGGCAGAGUUCUUGGGUACCCACAGCAAAGAGACCUACCCCACAUGAUGGAUGGCACGGCCCUGGCAGUGGAGUGCCCGCUGACUGAGGCCACUGCUCUGCACCUCUUGUGCUGCUCCUUGUUCCUCAUUCUGUUUGGCAAGAGCAGCCCCCAACCCCCGCACUUGGUCCCAGAGCUAUGCCUUCCCCCUCUUCUUCCUCCUCGGCGGAAUGGCUGUCUGGAGCCCGUGGCUCGUUCCAUCAGCGAGUCAUUUUCAUGGACAGGAGCUGCAGAAGAUAGGCCUGAGGGCCACUGGGGGAGGGGCAGUGAGGUGGGCAUACCUGGCGGUGGGCAGGGAGCUGGCGGCCAAAGGUUUCCAGGGCUCUGCCAGGUGACUCACGGCAGAUUCACCUCUGCCUUCCUCAGCUGUCCCAGGCCUGCUGCCUCCUCCAGUGUUCCCUUCCCUUUGUAUUAAACACAGCUUCAGUCCACACUCUAGAUUGUUCUUUUUUUUCUUGAUCUCUCUCUCUCUCUCUCUCUCCCCAACUCCCGCCCCACCUUCGCCUGCUCUCCUGCUCCCUACCUCUUAUCUGAAGUCACCACCACCAAGGCCGUCCACCUGGAGAGCUGCGGAGGGGCUGGGGACACCGCCCUCUUUCAUGGUGGCCAAUGAUGAAGGCACUAGGAGCUGCCCGCUUGCAUCUUUGAGGGGCCUUUCCUCUGACCAGAGGCUGGCCCUAAACAUGUCACUCAGUAGAAGGGUAAUACUCUGCACAGGACUCAGCCUCAGGGCCACCAGGCAACCGGCACAGGCCCUUGCAACGUGCCGGCACAGGACAGGCACUGACAGAAGUGACUACAGUGCCAGAGGCCAGCUAAGGGCCAGCAGGAAGGUCACACUCAGCCGAGGGGACACUGGACGGGAGGCCUUGUGCACAAGCUGGCCUUCAGACUGCAUCCUAGAGGAAAGGGGGCUCCACAUGGAAGGAAGGAGGGGUGCAGGAUGGGGGAGGCUGGUCCACAACGACAAAACUGUGACAAGCCCAGGCAACGCCACAGCACCCUCCUCCCAGAGAGGGGCUUGUGUUUAUCGCCAAGCGAGGGCGUCCUCUCCCUCUACACCAUCGACGUGGCUUCCCUGCGCUUUUAAGAGUGAAAUCCCACAACAGCAGCCCUUGUCAGAAGCUGGCACAUGAAUGCAAGGGCAGCAGGAGCUGGGGCUGCGUGUCCCGGUGCUCUCCCAGCUCCACCACGUGUAGGCUGGCCUCGCUGCAACUCAGUUCCCCAGCUAUUAAACGGGACCGUGGCCAUGCAGGCCCCUGAGAUGACUAUGGUGACCAAAUCGGCUGGCACCUCCCAGACUUAGUGCCCAGUCAACCACACCUGCGACUGUGAUGAGUUAGUACUUGGGCCUGCCUGGCCUGGCCUCUGUUCGCUCCUCUGCCCCACCUCGUGCCCUGAGCCUCCCAGUUUGCUGAGCUGCUUUUCCAGUUCUUUCGCACAUCACAUUAGAUGGAAUGGGGACAUGCUGGAAACCUUUGUCUCGUAGCUGUCUGAAACCGUUGCUCAUUUAUACUGUGUACAGACUUUUUUCUAUCACAUUUGCAAUCUCAAGAAGCCUCAUGUUAUGAAAUGCUUGAGGUGCCACAAAGGCCCUGUGUGUUUACCUACUGAUGAGUUAGUUGAUCUCAUGAACACUCAAGAGUGACAACUUGUGAACACUGGGAAUAAGAAAACUUUUAAUACAAAAAACGACUGAUGAACACUGACAUUUAAACUUACCCUCUAUACCCUCCCGGUUAGGCUUUAACAUGUCAAUUAUUCAUCUCUCACCUAAUAAUAGAAUUAUGGUGGUUACUCACAAAGCGGCUGUCCCGCCUCCGCAGCUCACACUGGAAACUGCAGGAACAGAGCAGGCACCUCCGGCGGCUCGCAGCCCAGCCGGUCUGACCCUGGCCUUUUCAGGGGAUGUCUCCUAUCCAGAAGCUUGGGGCCAAACAGGGUAAUUGUGUAGCAGAACAGGUGAUGAUUAUGCAAGAAACAGUACGGUCUUUUAGAAGAUCAGCUCUAAAGGUCAAGGGGGCGGACGUCUUUAUUAAGAAGGGAAAAAAAUGUCAGCUAUGCUGCUGUGUGCAGAAAAAGGAAUCCACUCCUCCAUUGACAAAAAUGCCCAGGCUGCAUCGUGCUGAGCCUCAGAUCUAGCUUUCAGGGUCGUGGCAAAUCUAAAAGCACAUGCAUUCCUCGGGAAAUGCCCCUCUACAGCUUGUGUGUUCUCUGACCCCUUUACAUGACAUGUACCAGCUGUUCUUCACAUUCUUUGAAAGACACUUUCAUGAACUCAGAUGUCCCCCAUCCCUCUCCCACCCUCCGUCCCCACACCUAAAAUUCAUGAGUUCAUCCCUUCACCAGGGAGGAAAGCUGUAUAAUGGCCCUUUUUCAGCAAGGAUUCCAUAUUCCCCAACGCAUCCUUAGAACUGUAGCUUCCAUUCUCUCCCUGCAUACACCAUUUCUCCUACUUAAAUAUGAGCUCCUGUCCUGGGCUUACCCUUCUAGCCACCAGGUAAGCACUAUAUUCCUGAGCUGCUUCUGUGGUCUAAGAAGGAAGGCAACCCUCCAAUCCGUUGAAGAUCUCCAAUUCUCGCCUCUAAGCAUACAAAUAUCUUUUAGGAAUGUGGCUUCAAAAUCCAUCCAGAUUUAGUAAACAUGGUAAAAAUUUAAGAAUUAAAACAGUUUUGAAAUGUGAGCACAAUAGCCAGGCUGCCAGAGAACAGAAUUUAUUUGCAAUUAAAUGCUGAUGUGGUCUUCCAGCAUCUGUUAACUUCUCCCCUAGACACUCAGAGAAAGCAGAGUUCGUCCAAAUUAAGGACUCUCAGAAAAGUACUUACUCUGAGAAACUCUUAGAUCUUUUAAAAUGGAAAGCAAUGCGGCAAAGAUAACCUAUAUGUCAUGAAAAAGUAGCCGUGUAAAAGGGAACAUAGAUUCAUUUUCAGAUGUGCAUCAAUGAAUUCAUUUGAUUUAUAGAUUGUGAUGAUAAUAGAAAAGCUAAAGUCAAUAGGUUCACUUUAAGCUUUCGCUGCAAAUCUGAUAAUGGGAAGGGUGUGUGGUUCAAUGUGGGGGUCUCAGGUGGUUGGCAUUUUGUUAUCUGAGUGUGCUUUUGCGUCUUACUAGCAGCCUAAUGUCACUGUAGACUCUCCCGCGGGUUUCAGGGAUACUGUGACUGAACACAAUUUGGAUGAUGAAUUGUACGGAAAGUACAUUUUCAGCCCUGUGUGUAUGGAGCAGUCUCGGAAUUGAUUUAAUUGACGCACUGUGCUGACCAUUCCCCCGUCGUCUUGGGGCAGGGUCUGUUGCCCACAGCCGGCUCCAGGGCACCCGAUGGAACUCCCAAGGAAGAAGCACCUUCAUACGGGGGUGGUCCCAGCCUCCCUGAGUCCUGUCUGCACCCCUGAGAGGAGCCCCUCACCCCUGGAUGGCCACGGAGCUAAUUUUCCUAAAUAACUAGAGAGCCGGGGAAUAAAAAAAUACACUGUGGUCCAUCCAACCUGGAUGAGAGAAAUUUAACAGUAAGUAAGUAUAGUUACCACGUUAACUGUAAACACUGCCGUAAAUGGUACCUGUUCAAAGUGCGUAGAUAGGUGUUGGUACAAGGACUGGGAUUUCACACUUAACUCUUCACAGACGGAUGUCUGCAGAGUAGGAUUUUGUGUAUCUGCUUUUAAAUUCAUCUUUCUAAUAAUUCAUCUUUCUUUAUGUAAUUUAUAAAAUGGCGGUUCAUGAUGCUUUGGAGAUUUUUUAAAGCCGCGUCUCGCCAAAGACAGAGACAUGCUACCCUAGGGAGGAACCUAAGUCCCUGAACAACCUUGAGGACACACCAAAGCCCAGGACUACCCACCA